AUUGUUUGUCACUCGCUACCGUGAGGGUGGGCAAGAAGGAGUGUCCGGGGUCCAGGGAAGAGCUCCAGAGCUAGAUGAUAGACUCUGCACCAUGGAAGGACAGAAUGCCAGGUCGGUGGUUCCUGGUCCGUUGUGGGGAUCCGGCCCUGUAGGGCUACAGUGUGGAGUCGAUCUUGGACUCCCGGGUACGGCAGGGUGAACCAGUACCUGGUGAACUGGGCGGGUUAAGGCCACAAAGAACGCUGGUGGGUCCGGGUGGUGGACAUCUGUGACCCCUCCCUGACCUCGGAUUUCCAUGCUCGCCAUCCGGAUCGGUCUGCUCCUCGACCUUGGGGUUGCCCGGGGUGCCGGCAGGAGGCGGCGUCCGGAGCUGUGUCUUGGGGUGUAACACCUGGUCCGCGUGGCACAGCCACUCCCCUUCCUCUCCGGGGCUCCGUCUCACCGGUGUACUAACAACCAGCUGGAGAUUGGUGGCAGCUGCUCAUCCCGACGACACACCUGUUCCCAAUGAUCAUUUAGCUGUGUAUAUCUGUGUUGUUUUCUCCCUGCGCCGGACGAAUUAUUGUUUGUCCAUCGCUACCGUGAGGAAUUGUCUGUUUUUUUAUUUAUAAAAGAACAAAUGUUAUAUUGCUGUCUUUUUUGUUUGCCUUUUUUUUGCCUCACUUUACGCACUCGCUACCCACAACCCUUCAUAGCAUCUUCUCACCAAAAC
ensembl:lncRNA